CCUACGGGUGGCAGCAGUGGGGAAUAUUGGACAAUGGGGGCAACCCUGAUCCAGCCAUGCCGCGUGUGUGAAGAAGGCCCUCGGGUUGUAAAGCACUUUCAGUGAGGAAGAAAGCCUGGUGGUUAAUACCCAUCGGGAAAGACAUCACUCACAGAAGAAGCACCGGCUAACUCCGUGCCAGCAGCCGCGGUAAUACGGAGGGUGCGAGCGUUAAUCGGAAUUACUGGGCGUAAAGCGCGCGUAGGUGGCUUGAUAAGCCGGUUGUGAAAGCCCCGGGCUCAACCUGGGAACGGCAUCCGGAACUGGCAAGCUAGAGUGCAGGAGAGGAAAGUAGAAUUCCCGGUGUAGCGGUGAAAUGCGUAGAGAUCGGGAGGAAUACCAGUGGCGAAGGCGGCCUUCUGGACCGACACUGACGCUGAGGUGCGAAAGCGUGGGUAGCAAACAGGAUUAGAUACCCCGGUAGUC
rnacentral:rRNA from 1 species